rnacentral:rRNA from 1 species
GACGAACGCUGGCGGCGUGCUUAACACAUGCAAGUCGAACGGAAAGGCCUCUUUCGGGGGGUACUCGUGUGGCGAACGGGUGAGUAACACGUGAGUAACCUGCCCUUGACUUUGGGAUAACUUCAGGAAACUGGGGCUAAUACCGGAUAGGAGCUCCUGCUGCAUGGUGGGGGUUGGACAGUUUCGGCGGUUGGGGAUGGACUCGCGGCUUAUCAGCUUGUUGGUGGGGUAGUGGCUUACCAAGGCUUUGACGGGUAGCCGGCCUGAGAGGGUGACCGGCCACAUUGGGACUGAGAUACGGCCCAGACUCCUACGGGAGGCAGCAGUGGGGAAUAUUGCACAAUGGGUGGAAGCCUGAUGCAGCAACGCCGUGUGCGGGAUGACGGCCUUCGGGUUGGAAACCGCUUUCGCUCAUGACGAAGCUUUGUGUGACGGUAGUGGGUAAAGAAGCACCGGCUAACUACGUG